CAAGGGACACGCGCCGGCAAGGGCCGCAGCAUCCUGCCCGGCUGUCUAUUCAUCUUUUCUCCUCCUCCACUCCUCACUCUUUUCCUCCCCCUGGAUCCCCUUUCUUGUCAAGCUCGCUGGGGACGCCCCCGCUUGCCGUUGCAACGCCAGCCAUUGGCCGCCAGCCGUCGGUCCGGAUCGACGCUCACGCUCACGCCUCCGGCUCCGACAUGCACGCCGAUUGGACGCCGCCGUGAACCACCUCGCUUCUCCGGUGCGCUCUUGCUCCUAGGUAGUUCCCUAGCUCGAUUGUUGCUCUUGCCGUCCCUUUAAUGGUGAUUCCUGGCUCCGGCGUGCAGGUACGUCUUGAACCAAGGUCGCCUUUCUCGGUUCCGUCGGCGCUGUUGCGACGCCGCCGCGGUCAUCCUCCUCCCCGAGCAGCUCUAGGGGCCGUGACGGGCUCCGCGUCGUCCGCGUCUCCUCUGGACCACGGACUCGAAGCCGUGGGCCCCUCCUACUUCUUCCUCGACCGCUGACCGCCAUUGACGCCGUCCGAAACUUGCUGCCACGAACAGCAAGGUGAGGCCGUGAGGAGUCAUCUCUGCCUGUUGCUGCUGCUCGCUGUUGGCUUGCUUUGCUGCUUGUUGUUGUUGCCGCUGCUGACUGCUUGAUGCUGCUGGUUGUUUUGCUUACCGAUGCUGCUUGCUUUUGUUGCUUGCUGCUGCUGGCCUUGAGCUGCGGGUAAAUGAGAGAAAGAAAGGAAGUUUUACAUUUGUAUAGGGAGAUGGUCGUAUUUAGAUUCAUUUAGAAAUGGCCAUGUUUCAGUACCGUUUAAUUUACUUGUUCGUCGUAAAGUCAGACUAAGCCUAGUCUUUCCUGUGCAUAAAAGUUUCAGAAAAAUGCUCAACCUGCUGAACUUGGAAAAUCCAUAAAAAAUCAUUCCAGUUUCUGUUUGGAGCAGUACUGAUAUGGAGUUGGCUGGUUUAAAUUGUACUGUAGCAAUGGAAAAUAUGAACAUGGUCAAUAUUAUUGCUUGGAAGUAAAAGAUCAUGUACUCCUUUAACAACACGUCUUUAGAUCUGGUAAAAAUUCACAACUUGCAUUAGAAAAUGUUGUUGUCAAUUUCAGUAUCUUCAUUUUCAUCUUACUGUAUGACAUCAUAUUCUUAGCUUUGUUUGACAUGGCUAGGAGUUGCUUGUUGUUCAUGAUCAGCGGGUCAUGGCAUUAACUUGGAUUAAUUAACAUGGAAACAAAUAAGUGAAUUGUGAGGGUCGUGGU
rnacentral:lncRNA from 1 species